rnacentral:rRNA from 1 species
UACGAAGGGGGCUAGCGUUGCUCGGAAUCACUGGGCGUAAAGCGCACGUAGGCGGGUCCUUAAGUCAGGGGUGAAAUCCCGGAGCUCAACUCCGGAACUGCCUUUAAGACUGCAUCGCUUGAAUCCAGGAGAGGUGAGUGGAAUUCCGAGUGUAGAGGUGAAAUUCGUAGAUAUUCGGAAGAACACCAGUGGCGAAGGCGGCUCACUGGACUGGUAUUGACGCUGAGGUGCGAAAGCGUGGGGAGCAAACAGG